UCCAAUCUGCUCACUGAAAAUUUUAAAGAGCCGCAGUAUCUUGACUGUGCAAAGGUAGCAUAAUCAAUAGUUUUUUAAUUGAAAACUCGUAUGAAAGAUUAGACAAGAAAUUAUUUUUCUUUAAUUUAAAAAGUUGAAUUUUAAUUUUAAGUGAAAAUGCUUAAGUAUAUUUAAGGGACGAGAAGACCCUAUAGAUUUUUAUUAUUUAAUUAAAUUUUAUAAAUUAUUUAUAAAAAUAAUUUAAUUGGGGUGAUUUUGUAAUAUGAAAAACUUAAAUUUUUAUAACCAUAAAUGAUUGAAUUUUUUGAUCUAAAAUUUUUAAAGAAAAGAUUAAAUUACCUUAGGGAUAACAGCGUAAUUUUUUUUAAGAGUUCAUAUCUAUAAAAAAGUUUGCGACCUCGAUGUUGAAUUAAGAUAAUAUAUUGAAGUAG
rnacentral:rRNA from 1 species